CAAAGGGUAGUUUAAUUAAAAUAUUAAUUUUGGAAAUUAAUGAAAAGUACUAUACUUUCCUUUGA
rnacentral:tRNA from 1 species